GGCCGAAACGUACAAUCAGGUCUGUGCUGAUUAUAUAUUUAUACUCCCCAUAAGCAGUUCAGAGUCCAUCACAGGUAUCAGCUGGUCAUCUUCGCCAUUUUAACUGAAACGUUGUGUUGGAAAUAUUCCACUAAGGUCAGCCAUUUUUCCGCUUCUUGUUGGAAGAAGAAGUAUAUUCGGACAGUCUUACCCGGCUUCCCGGCUCCGUGAGUAAAACAUAUACCCGACGUCGUAGCGAAACGGACUACGCUUUGACCUCGUCAGCCCCCAGUGG